rnacentral:rRNA from 1 species
AUACGGAGGAUCCGAGCGUUAUCCGGAUUUAUUGGGUUUAAAGGGUGCGUAGGUGGUUUGAUAAGUCGGCGGUGAAAUUUUGCAGCUCAACUGUAAAAGUGCCUUCGAUACUGGCUUCCUUGAGUGUGGAUGAAGUAGGCGGAAUUUGUGGUGUAGCGGUGAAAUGCUUAGAUAUCACGAAGAACUCCGAUUGCGAAGGCAGCUACUAAGCUGUAACUGACAUUGAGGCUCGAAAGUGUGGGUAUC